rnacentral:lncRNA from 1 species
GGAGCCCAAAUCUUUAGUGAAGGUGGGCUUGACUACUUGGGAAACCCAAGCUUGGUUCAUGCCCAGAGCAUCUUGGCUAUUUGGGCUACCCAAGUUGUCUUGAUGGGGGCAGUUGAGGGCUACCGUAUUGCUGGUGGACCACUCGGUGAGGUUGAAGAUCCACUUUACCCCGGUGGAAGUUUCGACCCAUUGGGCCUUGCUGAUGAUCCGGAGGCUUUUGCUGAGCUUAAGGUUAAGGAACUCAAGAAUGGAAGACUUGCUAUGUUCUCCAUGUUUGGUUUCUUCGUUCAGGCCAUUGUUACAGGAAAGGGCCCAUUGGAGAACCUAGCUGAUCAUCUUGCUGAUCCAGUGAACAACAAUGCAUGGGCCUAUGCCACCAACUUUGUCCCCGGAAAGUGAGAGAGGAGGAGAGCUUUGAACUUCUUACUUUCGGUUUGAGCAGUUUGUGUGUUUGUUAUGUAUAUUGGUCCGAUCUAAUGAAAAAAAGUGUGAAUUUAUAUGUCUUUGUUAUGUAUAAGUUGAUACCCUAUGUUGUUUGUUUGUUCUAAAAAUGCAGUAGUACCUAAAAUGUAUCUAUCUCAUCUUACAUAAUCACUUGGUUAGGGCCAUGGAAUGGUGGCCUUAACCAAUUUCUUUUGGGACGUUUCAAAUUAGCUCAAUAUAAAUGCUGCUAAAAAUCUUCAAUAUUGUUGGACACAAUUGGCUAUCAUGUAAAAUUUGCUCAUAAUUCUCGUAGCUUAAGAAGAUUAAUUUGAUAUAUAGUUGCCUAUCAAGUUAUAAAGAAUCAAAAAUGGAUAAUAGAAAAAGAAAAGAAAAGAAAAGGUGAGAAUACAUGAAUUAAUAGUAGUAAUGUAGUAGUAAAACUAGACUUGUAGGUAAGUAGUUUCGUUUUUGCUCAGAAAGGGUACAAAGACAACUGCACAAACCCAAAAGGGCGCGCUUUAGCCCUUAAUUAGUCCCAAAGACGAGAGCUUUUUAGUGCCAUUAAUCCUCAAUUCAGAGCAUUGACAGUAAUCAAGAUGCGACCAUCAUCCCAUGCCCACUUUUUCUCCUCUCUCAAACAAGUUGAGAAGAGAUUAAAAUCGGAGAACACUUCACAAUCCUCCAUUAAUCCCUCUCCACCACCACCAGACAGCAAUUUUACACCACCAGAAUCUCUCAGCUCUCCUAUAUACCUUGAUUUCGACCAACCCACCAGUAGUAACUCAUUUCUUCAAGAAAGUGAUCCCCCUCGAGAAUUCCUCUCAAGUUCUCUUGAUUUCCCAGCUACCCAUGAAGACCCACCUCAAUCAAGCCCUGUACAUAACCCAGAAACAAUCAACGAACUCGAAACAAAUGGGGUUGAUGAUAUCGAUUUGUUAAUGCAACUUUUGGGUUUAUCUGAUUGUAAAAAGGAAGAGCAAAAAGGUGUUGGAUUCGAUUUGAAUAGUAAUUGUGAUGAUGAGUUUUAUGUUAAGAUUGCUAAAGUUAAGGGGCCAAGAUGUAACAAGGAAGUUCAGAGAAUGGAGGGGUGGAUUAAGCAUUUUAUGAAUGAGGGUGAGAAAAAAGAGCCCUUGAGAUUGGCACAUUUACUUUUGGCUAAAGCUGCUUUGCUUUCAGAUAAUAGUGGUGGAUGUGGAGGCUUUGAAUUUCCCUCAACUGUUGAUGAGUUUUUGCAGAAUGAUCCCCCACCAAAUUAGGUUAGUUUUUACUUUUUUCCCCAAUCUCUUUUUCUGAAAUCUUUGUGGAGCUGUUUAUAGCGAUUGUAGGGAAUUAUUACAUAAAUUUUAUGUGUUAUAUCUGCUUCCUGAGUAGUGAUCUCAUUUUCAUUUAGUUAGCUACUCCUUGUUGAUGAUUACAUAUAACAAUUAUGAAUUUAAAUGUUUAAGUAUUAUGCAACUUCCCAUUAGUAUGUCAUUCAAAUAUAAGAUAUGUUGGAACAAUAAGUAACUAAGGAAACAUAAUUUUUAAUUACUAUUAGUGAUGAAUGUAUGGGAUUUGAAGCCUAGAGUGCCUUCCAAAACACUUUAUCCACAUUUACAUAAUCAUGUGUCCUGUAGAAUCAAAAAUCUUAUCUUAAGCUAAGAAUUUUCUGUGAGAUUUUUUGGCACAUUGUACAUAUAAAUCCAAGGCUGGUUAGUGAAACAGAAACUACCAGUUGGAUUUGAAAAUACGAUCAACCAAUGAAGAGAAAGAUAAAGAUAUCCAAAGAUAAGGACCCUAUAAACCCAAGCCACAUAUAUACUUUGGAUACAUACAUGAAACUCAAGCCAACUAGCUCCUUUCUAUAGCUAUUCCCAUAACUGUUGUUUCCUUCAGCAGAUUUUCUUUUAAAUCUACUAAAUGGCUGCUACAUCAAUGGCUGUCUCUUCCCCAUCUUUUGCUGGGAAGGCUGUGCAAGUUGCUCCUUCUUCGUCAGAGUUCUUUGGAAAUGGAAGGGUUUCCAUGAGGAAAACUGUCACCAAGCCUGUCUCAUCUGGCAGCCCGUGGUACGGCCCAGCCCGAGUCAAGUACUUGGGCCCAUUCUCCGGUGAAGCUCCAUCUUACCUUACCGGAGAAUUCCCAGGUGACUAUGGUUGGGACACUGCUGGGCUCAGCUGACCCUGAAACCUUUGCCAAGAACCGUGAGCUUGAGGUGAUCCACAGUAGGUGGGCCAUGCUUGGAGCUCUUGGUUGUGUAUUCCCUGAGCUUUUGCCUCGCAAUGGUGUCAAGUUUGGUGAAGCCGUGUGGUUUAAGGCCGGGGCCCAAAUCUUCAGCGAGGGUGGACUUGACUACUUGGGAAACGCAAGCUUGGUACAUGCCCAAAGCAUCUUAGCCAUCUGGGCUACUCAAGUUAUCUUGAUGGGUGCUGUUGAGGGUUAUCGUGUUGCUGGUGGGCCACUCGGUGAGGUUGUUGACCCACUUUACCCUGGUGGGAGCUUCGACCCAUUAGGCCUUGCUGAUGACCCAGAGGCAUUUGCUGAGCUUAAGGUGAAGGAGCUUAAGAAUGGGAGACUUGCCAUGUUCUCUAUGUUUGGGUUCUUUGUUCAGGCCAUUGUGACUGGAAAAGGCCCAUUGGAAAACCUGGCUGAUCACCUUGCUGAUCCAGUAAACAACAAUGCUUGGGCCUUUGCUACUAACUUUGUCCCUGGAAAGUGAGAGAUGAGAGUCUUGAAUUCCUUACCAUUUGACUUUCAAUUUGAGUUGAGUGAUGUAAUGUGGUCUUAUCGAAUGCUGAAAUUGUGAAUUUUUGUGCUACUAUAUACUUUUGUGCAAAUGGUUCUGAUUUACUUAUAAUUUCGCUACUGUAUUCUAUCUUUCCCCAUAUAAGUUCGUAAUCCUUGCAGUCUGUUUGGCUGAAAUUUGAACUACCACUAACAUAAAAAUCCUUAACAAAAUAGAUUAAAUAAUAUCCACACCCUUUUCAGGUUAUUGCCGCAUAGAAAAUGGAGAAAACAGAACUUCUAAAUUACAAAAUUUUAAAGAAACACCUAAUGUAGGCCAUGAAAGAUUGGCCUUGGAACCAAUUUUCCUCCAAGAGGUUUCAAAAUAUUUCCAUAUAUUCUACUAAAAGAUUCCUUGAUGUAGUGAACCUUUCAAUAAUGGUUGCUUCUGUUUUGUCUUGGGAAAAUAAAUUUGAUUGAUAAUUUAACAUCUAAGGUACAAAAAUGCUUUUGGGNNNNNNNNNNNNNNNNNNNNNNNNNNNNNNNNNNNNNNNNNNNNNNNNNNNNNNNNNNNNNNNNNNNNNNNNNNNNNNNNNNNNNNNNNNNNNNNNNNNNNNNNNNNNNNNNNNNNNNNNNNNNNNNNNNNNNNNNNNNNNNNNNNNNNNNNNNNNNNNNNNNNNNNNNNNNNNNNNNNNNNNNNNNNNNNNNNNNNNNNNNNNNNNNNNNNNNNNNNNNNNNNNNNNNNNNNNNNNNNNNNNNNNNNNNNNNNCAGCUGUGAAAUUUACUUUUAACCUAAUUGUUAACACUUAACACUACUUCAUAUUAUAAUUAUUAUUUAAUCAUUAUCACUCACACUCCGAAGGAACUAAUCAGCUAAAUAUAUAUUCUGAUGGUAUACAAAUUUUCAGAAGUAUGUCAAUAAUAUUUUAGAUUGUGGAGCAAUCAUUCACUUGACACUAAUAAACUUUGAUUCGAUAGCAACUAGGCACAUUCAUGUAUAGAGAUAGCUUCUCCAAGCAGAAAAUCCAUGAAUCAAACUGAUUGGCUAUUAUUGUGUUCACUGUCUAUUUUUAUGAGAUUUAUUGAGACAUUCUGCACCUAAUAAAUCCAAGGCUGGUAGUGGUAUAGAAAUUGCCAAAUGGAUAAGAAACCAAGUUCUCAAAAUACCAUCAAGCAAUGAGGAUAAAAGUAAAGAUGUACAAAGAUAAGGACCCUAGCUAGUUAAUCGAAGUAUAUAUAUAUGUAGGUUACAACCCAUGAUACUCAAGCCCGUUAGUACCUUUCUUAGCUAUUCCUACAACUGUUAUUACUUUUAAGAGUUCUUACUUCAACUAUACAGAAUGGCUACUUCAUCAAUGGCCCUCUCUUCCCCAUCUUUUGCCGGUCAGGCAGUGAAAGUUGCUCCAUCUUCGUCGGAGCUUUCUGGUAAUGGAAGAGUUUCCAUGAGGAAAACUGUCACCAAGCCGGUGUCCUCUAGCAGCCCAUGGUAUGGCCCAGACAGAGUCAAGUACUUGGGCCCAUUCUCUGGAGAGGCCCCAUCUUUCCUCUCUGGGGAAUUCCCAGGUGACUACGGUUGGGACACUGCCGGGCUCUCGGCUGAUCCCGAAACCUUUGCCAAGAACCAUGAACUUGAGGUGAUCCACAGUAGGUGGGCCAUGCUUGGAGCUCUUGGUUGUGUAUUCCCUGAGCUUUUGGCUCGCAACGGUGUGAAGUUCGGUGAAGCUGUAUGGUUUAAGGCUGGAGCCCAAAUCUUCAGCGAGGGUGGGCUUGACUACUUGGGAAACCCAAGCUUGGUACAUGCCCAAAGCAUCUUGGCAAUCUGGGCUACACAAGUUAUCUUGAUGGGUGCUGUUGAGGGUUAUCGUGUUGCCGGUGGGCCACUCGGUGAGGUUGUUGACCCACUUUACCCAGGUGGGAGCUUCGACCCAUUAGGCAUUGCUGAUGACCCAGAGGCAUUUGCUGAGCUUAAGGUGAAGGAGCUUAAGAAUGGAAGACUAGCCAUGUUCUCUAUGUUUGGUUUCUUUGUUCAGGCCAUUGUGACUGGAAAAGGCCCAUUGGAAAACCUAGCUGAUCACCUUGCUGAUCCAGUUAACAACAAUGCUUGGGCCUUUGCCACUAACUUUGUCCCUGGAAAGUGAGAAGAACAGCAUUGAAGAAUUCUAACAACGAGGAAAGUUUCUCUCAUCAUACAGUUUUUAUUUUUGAGUGGGGUCUGAUGUAAAUUGGUUUGAUCUAGUGAACAGAUUGUGAAUUUCGUGUUUUGAAAUGAAAUGAUUUUAAUUUUAUAAUGCCUUUUAUGUUUUUCUGUUUUAUUUAUUUGUUCAAGUUAGUGUUUUCUGUUGCUUUUAAAAGGGUUUGUAGUAUAUCUGAAAGAAUCCCAGAUGAAAAACAGUGGAAGAAAAAAACUAAGCUUAAUUUCUAACUCACAUCAAACCGAAA